CAGCAGCCACGGUAAUACCGGCACCUCGAGUGGUCAGGAGGUUUAUUGGGCCUAAAGCAUCCGUAGCCGGUUGCAUAAGUUUUCGGUUAAAUCUAUGCGCUUAACGUAUAGGCCGCCGAAAAUACUGUGCAGCUAGGGAGUGGGAGAGGUACACGGUACUCGAUGGGAAGGGGUAAAAUCCUUUGAUCUAUUGAUGACCACCUGUGGCGAAGGCGGUGUACCAGAACACGUUCGACGGUAAGGGAUGAAAGCUGGGGGAGCAAACCGGAUUAGAUACCCCCGUAGUCCCUGUCUCUUAUAC
rnacentral:rRNA from 1 species